CCAGCAGCACCAGCAGGAGCUUGCUAGAAUGCAGAAUUUGGGUUCAUCCCUGUGCUUCUGAACCAGUAUUUACAUUUGAACAAGAUCCCGAGGUUGACUCUCGUGUGCGUUAAAGUUGGAGAAGACUGUAGAGCUGUUCCAAGGGGAGAGGAGAGCAGGAAACCGGAAACAAAUGAAUUUUCUCUGAAGAGGAAGAGAAGAAUAUAACCACGUUGGAUUUUACUUUCCUAACGAAUUCCUACAGAAAACAUGGUUUCCAGGGUGAUUUAAAUUUCUGAAAAAAUAAGAUCAGCAGACCCAUGGUGUGGACUCCCAGAUGCUCAGGAAAUAUUUCAUAAAGACAUUCCUUCCAGAGCAUUCCCUUGUGGAACCAAGCUGUCAUGCCAGGAGAAGCCCAAGUCACACAGAGCGCUUCCUGUGUGUGCUCUAUUGACAGCUGCAGGAGACCCAGUCAUCUCAGUCUAGGUUCCAGACACACGACGGAAGAAGCCUCCAGAUGAUUCCAGCCUCCAGCCAGCUGAGUCACUCCCAGUGGUUUGCAUCUUACCAGCUGAGUCCCAGACAUCAAAGAGCAGAGAGAAGCCAUCCUGUCUAUGCCCUGUUUGAAUUUUGGAUCUCAGGAAUACGUGCACAUAA